rnacentral:misc_RNA from 1 species
AACCCCAACAAUAACCGCAAUCCACAAAGGAAUCAUAAACAUGACGAGCUCAAUCACGACAUCUCCAAAAGUGGGUCUCUUCAAAAUCUCUAACAAAAUCGACCACACAGCCAUUUACCCUUUCCCGAAACGAAAUAGCCGCAAACCAAGGAAUAUUCAGCAAUCCAAAUACAACCCAGAUAAAUAACAGCAAAGAAAACCCAUAAAAAAAAAAAAAGAAAAACCCUCGAUUGAAUCGAAAUGGUAAGACGCGUUAAGCACUGCUAUUAGUCGAGGGUUUCAAAGAAAGAAGAGGGUAAUGUCACAGCAGAGCCGAGAUUUGAAAUGGACCAAUAAAGGAGGGUGAACGUGGGUGGAGAAAGGAAUAAUGAGAAAAAUAUUUGGGCUUUGCUGAGAAGCUGUAGAAAAAUGAGGAAGAAGACGAGUAUUGCUUCUGUUUAGCUGUUGAUAUCUACUACAGAUAGGGCUUUGGGAGAUAAGCGGUAGGGAGGCGUGUGCUAAAGAUUACCGUAGGGUCAGAUGAUUUUUUAUUGUAUUUCCUUGUAAGCUGUUUGUUUGGUGCACUGUACCUGUAUUCUGUAUGCUUGUUUUUAUGGCAGAAGGAAAAGAACGAUGCCGUUUUAGCCAAAUAGGAAGGCAACAAAUGGAAAGAAAUGAAUGGAUUAUACCUUGCAAAACAAAGUGUGGGUUGUUU